CAACAGCGGGAAGAUUUCGUCCGGACUCCUAUGGGAAUCGGACUCCAUCUCCAACCUCGACAGCGAGAAGACUUCGUCCGGACUACUACGGGAGUCGGACUCCAUCUCCAACUUUGACUACAGAAAGACUUCGUCCGGACUCCUACGGGAGCCGGACUCCAUCUCCAACCUCGAUAGCGGGAAGACUUCGUCCAGACUCCUACGGGAGCCAGACUUCAUCUCCAACUUCGACUACAGGAAGACUUCGUCCGGACUCCUACGGGAGCCGGACUCCAUC
rnacentral:lncRNA from 1 species